rnacentral:rRNA from 1 species
UACGUAGGUGGCAAGCGUUGUCCGGAAUUCUUGGGCGUCAAGCGCGCGCAGGCGGCCUCCUAAGUCCGAUGUGAAAGCCCACGGCUCAACCGUGGAGGGUCAUUGGAAACUGGGGGACUUGAGUGCAGAAGAGGAAAGUGGAAUUCCAAGUGUAGCGGUGAAAUGCGUAGAGAUUUGGAGGAACACCAGUGGCGAAGGCGACUUUCUGGUCUGUAACUGACGCUGAGGCGCGAAAGCGUGGGGAGCAAACAGG